rnacentral:rRNA from 2 species
AAGUCUGAUGGAGCAAUGCCGCGUGAGUGAAGAAGGGUUUCGGCUCGUAAAACUCUGUUGUUAAAGAAGAACACCUUUGAGGAGUAACUGUUCAAGGGUUGACGGUAUUUAACCAGAAAGCCACGGCUAAUUACGUGCCAGCAGCCGCGGUAAUACGUAGGUGGCAAGCGUUGUCCGGAUUUAUUGGGCGUAAAGCGAGCGCAGGCGGUUUUUUAAGUCUGAUGUGAAAGCCUUCGGCUUAACCGGAGAAGUGCAUCGGAAACUGGGAGACUUGAGUGCAGAAGAGGACAGUGGAACUCCAUGUGUAGCGGUGGAAUGCGUAGAUAUAUGGAAGAACACCAGUGGCGAAGGCGGCUGUCUAGUCUGUAACUGACGCUGAGGCUCGAAAGCAUGGGUAGCGAACAGGAUUAGAUACCCUGGUAGUCCAUGCCGUAAACGAUGAGUGCUAAGUGUUGGAGGGUUUCCGCCCUUCAGUGCUGCAGCUAACGCAUUAAGCACUCCGCCCUGGGGAGUACGACCGCAAGGUUGAAACUCAAAGGAAUUGACGGGGGCCCGCACAAGCGGUGGAGCAUGUGGUUUAAUUCGAAGCUACGCGAAGAACCUUACCAGGUCUUGACAUCUUCUGCCAAUCUUAGAGAUAAGACGUUCCCUUCGGGGACAGAAUGACAGGUGGUGCAUGGUUGUCGUCAGCUCGUGUCGUGAGAUGUUGGGUUAAGUCCCGCAACGAGCGCAACCCUUAUUAUCAGUUGCCAGCAUUCAGUUGGGCACUCUGGUGAGACUGCCGGUGACAAACCGGAGGAAGGUGGGGAUGACGUCAAAUCAUCAUGCCCCUUAUGACCUGGGCUACACACGUGCUACAAUGGACGGUACAACGAGUUGCGAAGUCGUGAGGCUAAGCUAAUCUCUUAAAGCCGUUCUCAGUUCGGAUUGUAGGCUGCAACUCGCCUACAUGAAGUUGGAAUCGCUAGUAAUCGCGGAUCAGCAUGCCGCGGUGAAUACGUUCCCGGGCCUUGUACAACACCGCCCGUCACACCAUGAGAAGUU